CAAGGAGGGAAUUGGUGCUUGCUUUGGCAGCACUGGAACGAUACGGAGAAGAUUAGCAUGGCCCCUGCACAAGGAUGACACACAAAUUUGUGAAACAUUCCUUAUUAAA
rnacentral:snRNA from 1 species